AGAGGCGCGUGUGCCUUUUCUGCACACUUGGUAUAGACUCGCACACAUGGUCAGUAGAGGUGCAUGUGCCUUU
ensembl:miRNA